GACGAACGCUGGCGGCGUGCUUAACACAUGCAAGUCGUACGGUAAGGCCCUUUCGGGGGUACACGAGUGGCGAACGGGUGAGUAACACGUGAGUAACCUGCCCACAACUUUGGGAUAACGCUAGGAAACUGGUGCUAAUACUGGAUAUGUGCUCCUGCUGCAUGGUGGGGGUUGGAAAGCUCCGGCGGUUGUGGAUGGACUCGCGGCCUAUCAGCUUGUUGGUGGGGUAGUGGCCUACCAAGGCGGCGACGGGUAGCCGGCCUGAGAGGGUGACCGGCCACAUUGGGACUGAGAUACGGCCCAGACUCCUACGGGAGGCAGCAGGGGGGAAUAUUGCACAAUGGGCGCAAGCCUGAUGCAGCAACGCCGCGUGGGGGAUGACGGCCUUCGGGUUGUAAACCGCUUUCAGCGGGGACGAAGCUUUUUGGGACGGUACCUGCAGAAGAAGCACCGGCGAACUACGU
rnacentral:rRNA from 1 species